rnacentral:rRNA from 1 species
AACGAACGCUGGCGGCAUGCCUAACACAUGCAAGUCGAACGAGACCUUCGGGUCUAGUGGCGAAAGGGUGCGUAACGCGUGGGAACCUGCCCUUAGGUUCGGAAUAACUCCCCGAAAGGGGUGCUAAUACCGGAUAAUGUCUUCGGACCAAAGAUUUAUCGCCUUUGGAUGGGCCCGCGUUGGAUUAGCUAGUUGGUAGGGUAAAAGCCUACCAAGGCGACGAUCCAUAGCUGGUCUGGGAGGAUGAUCAGCCAAACUGGGACUGAGACACGGCCCAGACUCCUACGGGAGGCAGCAGUGGGGAAUAGUGGACAAUGGGCGAAAGCCUGAUCCAGAAAUGCCGCGUGAGUGAUGAAGGCCUUAGGGUUGUAAAGCUCUUUUACCCGGGAUGAUAAUGACAGUACCGGGAGAAUAAGCUCCGGCUAACUCCGUG